GACGAACGCUGGCGGCGUGCUUAACACAUGCAAGUCGAACGGUAAGGCCCUGCUUUUGUGGGGUGCUCGAGUGGCGAACGGGUGAGUAACACGUGAGUAACCUGCCCUUUACUUUGGGGUAACUUCAGGAAACUGGGGCUAAUACCGGAUAGGAGCUCCUGCUGCAUGGUGGGGGUUGGAAAGUUUCGGCGGUUGGGGAUGGAAUCGCGGCUUAUCAGCUUGUUGGUGGGGUAGUGGCUUACCAAGACUUUGACGGGUAGGCGACAUGAGAGGGUGACCGGCCACAUUGGGACUGCGAUACGGCCCAGACUCCUACGGGACGCAGCAGGCGGGAAUAUUACGCAAUGAGCGGAAGCCUGAUACAGCAGCGCCGCGUGCGGGAUGACGUCCUUGGGGUUGUAAACCGCUUUCGCCUGUGACGAAGCGUGAGUGACGGUAAUGGGUAAAGAAGCACCGGCUAACUACGUG
rnacentral:rRNA from 1 species